CAGCCGCCACGGUAAUACAGAGGGUGCAAGCGUUAAUCGGAAUUACUGGGCGUAAAGCGCGCGUAGGUGGUUUGUUAAGUUGGAUGUGAAAUCCCCGGGCUCAACCUGGGAACUGCAUCCAAAACUGGCAAGCUAGAGUAUGGUAGAGGGUGGUGGAAUUUCCUGUGUAGCGGUGAAAUGCGUAGAUAUAGGAAGGAACACCAGUGGCGAAGGCGACCACCUGGACUGAUACUGACACUGAGGUGCGAAAGCGUGGGGAGCAAACAGGAUUAGAUACCCCCGUAGUCCCUGUUUCUUAUAC
rnacentral:rRNA from 1 species